GACGAACGCUGGCGGCGUGCUUAACACAUGCAAGUCGAACGAAGAGCGAUGGAAGCUUGCUUCUAUCAAUCUUAGUGGCGAACGGGUGAGUAACGCGUAAUCAACCUGCCCUUCAGAGGGGGACAACAGUUGGAAACGACUGCUAAUACCGCAUACGAUCUGACCUCGGUAUCGAGGAUAGAUGAAAGGUGGCCUCUACAUGUAAGCUAUCACUGAAGGAGGGGAUUGCGUCUGAUUAGCUAGUUGGAGGGGUAACGGCCCACCAAGGCGAUGAUCAGUAGCCGGUCUGAGAGGAUGAACGGCCACAUUGGGACUGAGACACGGCCCAGACUCCUACGGGAGGCAGCAGUGGGGAAUCUUCCGCAAUGGACGAAAGUCUGACGGAGCAACGCCGCGUGAGUGAUGACGGCCUUCGGGUUGUAAAGCUCUGUUAAUCGGGACGAAAGGCCUUCUUGCGAAAUAGUAGAAAGGAAUUGACCGG
rnacentral:rRNA from 1 species